rnacentral:rRNA from 1 species
AUUGAACGCUGGCGGAAUGCUUUACACAUGCAAGUCGAACGGCAGCACGGGAGCUUGCUCCUGGUGGCGAGUGGCGAAUGGGUGAGUAAUGCGUCGGAACGUACCGAGUAAUGGGGGAUAACGCAGCGAAAGUUGUGCUAAUACCGCAUAAGCCCUGCGGGCGAAAGGGGGGGAUCGGAAGACCUCACGACAUUCGAACGGCCGACGUCUGAUUAGCUAGUUGGUGGAGUAAUGGCUAACCAAGGCGACGGUCAGUAGCGGGUCUGAGAGGAUGAUCCGCCAAACUGGUACUGAGACACUGCCCAGACUCCUACGGGAGGCGUCAGUGGGGUAUUUUGGACAAUGGGGGCAACCCUGAUCCAGCCAUUCCGCGUGAGUGAAGAAGGCCUUCGGGUUGUAAAGCUCUUUCAGCUGGAACGAAACGGUACGCUCUAACAUAGCGUGCUAAUGACGUUACCAGCACAAGCAGCACCGGCUAUCUACGUGCCAGCCGCCGCCGUAAUAC